rnacentral:rRNA from 1 species
CGUAGUUGAAUUUCUGGUCGUGGCAAUCGGUCAGCCCCUCACGGGGUUCGUACCAGGUUGCUGCGUCCAUCCUCGGGGAGAGCACAUCGGGCAUUCAGUUGUCUGGUGUGGGAUCCUCGUCAUUUACUGUGAGCAAAAUAGAGUGUUCAAAGCAGGCUUAGGCCGUUGAAUACAUUAGCAUGGAAUAAUAAGAUAGGACCUUGGUCUAUUUUGUUGGUUUGCGUUCCAAGGUAAUGA